GUGCUUGCUUUGGCAGCACACUUUCUAAAAUUGGAAUGAUACAGGGAUUAUAUGGCCCCUGUGUAAGGAUGACAUGCAAAUUCGUGAAGCGUUCCAUAUUUUU
rnacentral:snRNA from 1 species